rnacentral:rRNA from 1 species
CACGUAGGGGGCAAGCGUUGUCCGGAUUUAUUGGGCGUAAAGAGCUCGUAGGUGGUUCGGUAAGUCGGGUGUUAAACCCCCAGGCUCAACCUGGGGACGCCACUCGAUACUGCUGCGACUAGAGUCCGGUAGGGGAGCGUGGAAUUCCUGGUGUAGCGGUGAAAUGCGCAGAUAUCAGGAGGAACACCAGCGGCGAAGGCGGCGCUCUGGGCCGGUACUGACACUGAGGAGCGAAAGCGUGGGUAGCAAACAGG